AUAAUGAUACUUCCGUAAUUCGCGGCCCGGCCAUAAAGAAGGCGGGGAGGGGUAGUGCCCUAUGA
rnacentral:ncRNA from 1 species